GAUGAACGCUGGCGGCGUGCCUAAUACAUGCAAGUCGAGCGAACAGACGAGGAGCUUGCUCCUCUGACGUUAGCGGCGGACGGGUGAGUAACACGUGGAUAACCUACCUAUAAGACUGGGAUAACUUCGGGAAACCGGAGCUAAUACCGGAUAAUAUAUUGAACCGCAUGGUUCAAUAGUGAAAGACGGUUUUGCUGUCACUUAUAGAUGGAUCCGCGCGGCAUUAGCUAGUUGGUAAGGUAACGGCUUACCAAGGCAACGAUGCGUAGCCGACCUGAGAGGGUGAUCGGCCACACUGGAACUGAGACACGGUCCAGACUCCUACGGGAGGCAGCAGUAGGGAAUCUUCCGCAAUGGGCGAAAGCUUGACGGAGCAACGCCGCGUGAGUGAUGAAGGUCUUCGGAUCGUAAAACUCUGUUAUUAGGGAAGAACAAAUGUGUAAGUAACUGUGCACGUCUUGACGGUACCUAAUCAGAAAGCCACGGCUAACUACGUG
rnacentral:rRNA from 1 species